AGAAUGAACGCUGGCGGCGUGCUUUACACAUGCAAGUCGAGCGAGGCGGGUAGCAAUACCCAGUCGAGCGGCGAACGGGUGAGUAACGCGUGGAUGACCUGCCUUGAGGUGGGGGAUAACUCGGGGAAACUCGAGCUAAUACCGCAUAUGACCGCGAGGUCAAAGGGGGCGCAAGCUCCCGCCAUAAGAGGGGUCCGCGUCCGAUUAGCUAGUUGGUGGGGUAAUGGCCUACCAAGGCGACGAUCGGUAGCCGGCCUGAGAGGGUGAUCGGCCACACUGGAACUGAGACACGGUCCAGACUCCUACGGGAGGCAGCAGUGGGGUAAUUUGCGCAAGU
rnacentral:rRNA from 1 species